rnacentral:rRNA from 1 species
AACGAACGCUGGCGGCUGGCCUAACACAUGCAAGUCGAGCGGACCUUUCGGGGUCAGCGGCGGACGGGUGAGUAACGCGUGGGAAUAUGCCCUUCUCUACGGAAUAGUCCUGGGAAACUGGGGGUAAUACCGUAUACGCCCUUUGGGGGAAAGAUUUAUCGGGGAAGGAUUAGCCCGCGUUGGAUUAGGUAGUUGGUGGGGUAAUGGCCUACCAAGCCGACGAUCCAUAGCUGGUUUGAGAGGAUGAUCAGCCACACUGGGACUGAGACACGGCCCAGACUCCUACGGGAGGCAGCAGUGGGGAAUCUUAGACAAUGGGGGCAACCCUGAUCUAGCCAUGCCGCGUGAGUGAUGAAGGCCUUAGGGUUGUAAAGCUCUUUCAGCUGGGAAGAUAAUGACGGUACCAGCAGAAGAAGCCCCGGCUAACUCCGUG